UUUAAUUUCCGCUUACAAACAAUAUCUUUCGCAAUUAUCUAUUUGUCUUCAAGAAAGAACUUUUCGCUGCUGCUUUUACAACUUUAUCUUCUUUGAAAAAAGGCCAAUGCAACUCCUGUUGUUAAAUUUAAAACGUGGAUCGGCGGAUGAAAAAAUGCGGGUGUUAAUACUGAGUUACUAUGAGUAAUUCGCAGCUCAUGACAGCAACUGGAACCGAGUUUGGUUCCAAAGCUCAUGUCCCGAUUGAUUAUUCAUCAAGAAUGUGACGUCUAGAAAAUUAUGGUUGAGUGAAAUGAAAAAUGAUCUGAGCAUUAGAAAAUUAAUGCAUUGAAUGCGGAGUGAAUGACUGGUGUUUAGAUGGGAGUUUUUGCCUGCUGAGAGCGCAGGCGCGAAAAUAUUCAGUAGCUGCAACUAGACUCAUCGAAUGUGAGUGUUUGAACG